rnacentral:tRNA from 1 species
UCCGAUAUGGUGUAGUGGCCAACAUGAUGCCCUCUCAUCACUAUGAGAGGUUAGGCAUAGCCCCGAGUUCGAUUCUCGGUUUCGGAA